rnacentral:rRNA from 1 species
AUUGAACGCUGGCGGCAUGCCUUACACAUGCAAGUCGAACGGCAGCACGGGAGCUUGCUCCUGGUGGCGAGUGGCGAACGGGUGAGUAAUACAUCGGAACGUACCCAGGAGUGGGGGAUAACGUAGCGAAAGUUACGCUAAUACCGCAUAUUCUGUGAGCAGGAAAGCGGGGGAUCGCAAGACCUCGCGCUCUUGGAGCGGCCGAUGUCGGAUUGGUUAGUUGGUGAGGUAAAAGCUCACCAAGGCGACGAUCCGUAGCAGGUCUGAGAGGAUGAUCUGCCACACUGGGACUGAGACACGGCCCAGACUCCGACGGGAGGCAGCAGUGGGGAAUUUUGGACAAUGGGGGCAACCCUGAUCCAGCCAUGCCGCGUGAGUGAAGAAGGCCUUCGGGUUGUAAAGCUCUUUCGGCGGGGAAGAAAUGGCAACGGCUAAUAUCCGUUGUUGAUGACGGUACCCGCAUAAGAAGCACCGGCUAACUACGUGCCAGCCGCCGCUGUAAAAC